rnacentral:rRNA from 1 species
CGCUGGCGGCGUGCCUAAUACAUGCAAGUCGAACGGUCUUUCUAUGGAAGCUUGCUUCCACUGAGAAGAUAGUGGCGAACGGGUGAGUAACACGUGGGUAACCUGCCCAUAAGAGGGGGAUAACAUCCGGAAACGGGUGCUAAUACCGCAUAGUUUUCUUGAUCGCAUGAUUGAGAAAGGAAAGACGGCCUUUGUGCUGUCGCUUAUGGAUGGACCCGCGGCGUAUUAGUUAGUUGGUGAGGUAAUGGCUCACCAAGACGAUGAUACGUAGCCGACCUGAGAGGGUGAUCGGCCACAUUGGGACUGAGACACGGCCCAAACUCCUACGGGAGGCAGCAGUAGGGAAUCUUCCGCAAUGGACGAAAGUCUGACGGAGCAACGCCGCGUGAGUGAAGAAGGUUUUUCGGAUCGUAAAACUCUGUUGUCAGAGAAGAACAAGUUGGAGAGUAACUGCUCCAGCCUUGACGGUAUCUGACCAGAAAGCCACGGCUAACUACGUGCCAGCCGCAGC